CAUCACAUCUCUACAGAUUCUUCACGGAAAAAUCCAGCAAAGCCUACUCCUUCUGGAUGAAGUUCAGAGUCACAUCUUCAAAGACCACCAAGCCGUGACAUAUCCCAGAUAUGUGUAGAGGAGGACAGGUGAAAGGCAGGAUUGGGAACCCCACAGACCGCAGCUCCUCCCAGGAGAACCCCACACAUGAGUCUGGAUCCUCGCCAUGAUCCUCCCGUGGCCCCCACACAAUCUGGGGAGACGCGGGGCCGCGGGCACUGCGCUGCCGAGAGGGCUCCGGACUGAGGCUGCAGUUGCUGCGCAGGGACGGCUCAGGAUGCCCGGGGUCCCGGCUGCUGGCCCAGCCCCACCCUGUGGCCGAGGGGACCCAGGGACGAGCUGCGCCAGGGAGACUCGGGUCCGCAGACCCCGGAAUCGCUGCUGACAGGCCCGGGUCCCACCACAGCAGGUCCCAACCAGCCCCUCCUCCCACCCGGCCUUGCACACUCACCAUUUCCCGGCUCCCAGGUGUCCCGGGUCCUCCCUUGGCUCCGGAGAUCAGUGCUGGUCACCACCGGACAGAAGCUGUGGUGGAGCCACCUCGGCCUCUGGAAGGCUGAAUUCAGUGGGUUAGGGGAACAGGAGCCCCUUAGACUUGCGGAGCUUGGCCCCACCCUCCUGGCGGAGCGCCUGAUUGGAUAAUUUACACGACCCCGCCCAGUACCCCUAGGAUAGGAAUCAAGCCCCACCCCCUAGGCCCGGGUUUCAGGAGAAGCCACGGAAAACUCGGAAGUGUGGAGCAGGAUUGACAGGUUCUAGCAACAGCCCUCCCACCCCCCCGCCCAGGCCAGGCUUCCUUCUGGAGCUUGGACGUGACCCCACACUGGGGACAUUUGCAUUUAAGAAAAACUUGGCUCCAGGCUUUCCACAGUGGGCCCUGGCAUCUUCCUAUACUCACUGGGCCCUUUCUGUUUCUUCCUUCUGGACGGGGGUUCACAAGUGUGAGCAGGCAGUUCCACACUCCGUGUCCAAUUGAGCCAGUACCUUUGCUGGAAGCUACUGGGCUGGAACAGGAGGGAGAGCCCAGAUGUCUUCCAGGGAUCAGGAAUUUGGGAUAAGCGGCUGGUGGCAUGGCCAAGGCUUCCUCAUACCUUAUCUCAGUCUACCCAUUUUCAGGGAAGAAAAUGAAAUAUGCCAACAAGGGAACAAAAAUUAAGUGCAUGGAAAAAAGUUAUACUACAGCAAUAUUCUGUAAAGAAAUCAAAAGGGGCCGGGCGCGAUGGCUCACCCUAUAAUCCCAGCACUUUGGGAGGCCAAGGUAGGAGGAUCACCUGAGGUCAGGAGUUUGAGACCGCUCUGGCCAACAUGGUGAAACCCCAUUCUCUACUAAAAAUACAAAAACUAGGCCAGGCGCGGUAGCUCACGCCUGUAAUCCUAGCACUUUGGGAGGCCAAGGCGGGCGGACCACAAGGUCAAGAGAUCAAGACUAUCCUGGCCAACAUGGUGAAACCCUGUCUCUACUAAAAAUACCAAAAAAAUCAGCUGGGCGUGGUGGCACGUGCCUGUAGUCAGAGCAGCUCGGGAGGUUGAGGCAGUAGAAUUGCCUGAACCCGGGAGACAGAGGUUGCAGUGAGCCAAGAUCACACCACUGCACUCCAGCCUGGCAACAGAGAGAGACUGUCUCAAAAAAAAAAAAAAAAAAAAAAAUAGCUGGGCAUGGUGGCACGUGCCUGUAAUCCCAGCUACUCAGGAGGUCGAGGCAGGACAAUCACUUGAACUCGGGAGGCGGAGGUUGCAGUGAGCCGAGAUCGUGCCACUGCACUCCAGCCUGGGCAGCAGAGUAAGACUUCAUUUCAAAAAAUGGGAAGAACAGCAAACAUUUUAACUAGCUCAGAUAAGCAUCCUCCUUCACAAGGAAAAGCCGCAUUCAGAAAAUGAAUCACGUUCCCAACCUUAAGAGCCAGGUUCUGACUGCUGUAACGCAGCCCCAGAGGGGAUCAGUCUGUGAGUUCCUGUCCCCUCAGUGUGGAAAUGCUCCCUCCUUCAGGACCUUAAUUUUCACCAGCAGGAAACUCUCACCUGGAAUCAGCUUAAGGUUCUGAUCUAAAUAAACUGUCAAAAUCAUAAACCCAUUCUCCAGAAGACAACCCAAACAAGUCUUUCUCUAAACCUGAACUAAACAGAUUUUUUUAGAGGGAGUCUAGCUCUGUUGCCCAGGCUGGAGUGCAGUGGCGUGAUCUCGGCUCACUGCAGCCCCCACCUCCCGGGUUCAAGCAGUUCUCCUGCCUC
rnacentral:lncRNA from 1 species